AAGAGGAGUAUGCACCAGAGGUCUGGGAAUUCUUGAGCUCUAUUUCUCUGCUGUGAAGAGCGAGCUGGAGACUUCUGGCCAAGGGUUCAGAUACAACUGGUAGCAGCCCCAAGCACUGAGCCGCCUGCCUGCCACAACCCUGUUUGCAAAGAAGGGGAAUUUUUAAAUAUGAAGAGAAGGAAGAAAAAAAUAUCAAAGUUGAGAAGUCCUAGGAUAUAACUGUGAUGACUCCACAGUUAACAGGGACUGCACUGGUAACAGGGACUCCAGACACCUCCACAUAGGAUGCUGUUCCUCUGGAUGUUCUGGAGGGAAUUUCAAAAGAGCUGUUCAGCAGUGGGUCCAAGGAUGCCCUCACAAGAGAAGAUUUUGAGUAGUGGGAGCAUCAGUCCAGCCUGAGAAAUCCUAAUGUGCACAAGAAUAUCUCGGAAGUGCUCCUAACUGCACCAGCUGAGAGAAUGGUUAAUCGGAUAUUCAAUCAGCGGUAAGUUCUUACACCACCAGCCUUGGCUUUGGAAGACUCA
rnacentral:lncRNA from 1 species